rnacentral:lncRNA from 1 species
CUUUACAAAUUCAGCAAACUCUUGAAAAUUUGUGUUAAAAUGGGGGCAUAUAGUCACAUUUUCCUUGGGAAGGAGAAAAUAACCUUCAUCAGAUUAUUAAGAGUCCAUGAUUAAACAUUGCGUCCUUAAUCUAGUAAUGCUAAAAAUCUAUUUCGAAAGUAAGAAUCUUAAAAAUGCAUUAAUAAACAUUUGAACUGCUUAGGAGAGGAAACAGUGGUGUCUAAAGUCAAAUCUGUGCCUUGAAAAGGUGAUAUUAUGAACAGAAAGUAAGUUUCACAUCAAUUGGACCUGUGUUUUGUGGAAAACAGCAGCAAUUGCACCUGCUUCCCAGCUUCUGAUAUCACCUCAGUUUAUGCUUCAAAAGAACCCUGGCAUGCUCAUUGAAUCACUCUUGUAUUCCUACUGUGACUAAUUUUCUUCCACCAUGUUACACAGAGAAAUAUACUUGCCACGUUUAUCACUGCACCGUUCGAGGAAGAGCCCCCCCCCUCCAGAAUUGAACUGAGGAGGACUCCUCCUGCCAGCUUAUGAAAUGAAUGAGAUUGUCCAUGAAAGAGGCCAACGUGGAAAGGUAUUUUUUAUUGUGCUGGUCCCUGAUAGCCCAGUGUUCGUCACAGGCCUGGGCUAUGGAAGGCAGUGACAAAUGCUCUUUGGUUUGAACACAGUUGAAUGGAUGUGAACGGAAUUGAUUUGAAUCAAAUUAAACAGAAUCUAAACUACUGGAGAAACAAUUUCUAUUUUAGAUAAUUUUAAAAGGAGUCUGGAAAACUGCCUAAUCUAAUGACCUCUGAUGAGAAGUGAAGAACUCAACGUGCAGCAAAAUGAAACUCGAGAGCAUGCACGCUAAUUAGUGGCCCACAUGGGACAAAGUCCUAGUUUUCUGAUUUCCCGCCCAGCCUUACUUCCAGUAUGCAACACUAUGUAAAACUGUGUGACCUGUAAAAAUAGAGAAUAGGAAGAAGAGCACAAGAAUGAGGAGAAUUUUUAUAUCUGUAAAUAAGGGUUAUAGAGAUAUGUUGAAGAAUGGACUGAGUAUUAUUAAAGCUAUGAUUCUCUAACAUGGUUCUAACAUUCAAAAGAAAGGGACUUAGUCUACUGCAACUUGCUUUUAAAAUGUGAGGAUAAUUAUUUAAGGCUGUGAAUGAAGAUACAGACAUAUUGAAAUAAAAAGGUAAACCUAAUGGCCUCA